ACACUCCUACGGGAGGCAGCAGUGGGGAAUAUUGGACAAUGGGCGCAAGCCUGAUCCAGCCAUGCCGCGUGAGUGAUGAAGGCCCUAGGGUUGUAAAGCUCUUUCACCGGAGAAGAUAAUGACGGUAUCCGGAGAAGAAGCCCCGGCUAACUUCGUGCCAGCAGCCGCGGUAAUACGAAGGGGGCUAGCGUUGUUCGGAAUUACUGGGCGUAAAGCGCACGUAGGCGGAUCGAUCAGUCAGGGGUGAAAUCCCAGGGCUCAACCCUGGAACUGCCUUUGAUACUGUCGAUCUGGAGUAUGGAAGAGGUGAGUGGAAUUCCGAGUGUAGAGGUGAAAUUCGUAGAUAUUCGGAGGAACACCAGUGGCGAAGGCGGCUCACUGGUCCAUUACUGACGCUGAGGUGCGAAAGCGUGGGGAGCAAACAGUAUUAGAUACCCGGGUAGUCCCA
rnacentral:rRNA from 1 species